rnacentral:rRNA from 1 species
UACGGAGGGCGCGAGGGUUAAUCGGAAUUACUGGGCGUAAAGCGCGCGUAGGCUGUUGUGUAAGUUGGGGGUGAAAUCCCACGGCUCAACCGUGGAACAGCCCUUGAUACUGCGCGACUUGAAUCCGGGAGAGGGUGGCGGAAUUCCAGGUGUAGGAGUGAAAUCCGUAGAUAUCUGGAGGAACAUCAGUGGCGAAGGCGGCCACCUGGACCGGUAUUGACGCUGAGGCGCGAAAGCGUGGGGAGCAAACAGG